AACGAACGCUGGCGGCAUGCCUAACACAUGCAAGUCGAACGAGACCUUCGGGUCUAGUGGCGCACGGGUGCGUAACGCGUGGGAACCUGCCCUUAGGUUCGGAAUAACUCCCCGAAAGGGGUGCUAAUACCGGAUAAUGUCUUCGGACCAAAGAUUUAUCGCCUUUGGAUGGGCCCGCGUUGGAUUAGCUAGUUGGCAGGGUAAAAGCCUACCAAGGCGACGAUCCAUAGCUGGUCUGAGAGGAUGAUCAGCCACACUGGGACUGAGACACGGCCCAGACUCCUACGGGAGGCAGCAGUGGGGAAUAUUGGACAAUGGGCGAAAGCCUGAUCCAGCAAUGCCGCGUGAGUGAUGAAGGCCUUAGGGUUGUAAAGCUCUUUUAUCCGGGAUGAUAAUGACAGUACCGGGAGAAUAAGCUCCGGCUAACUCCGUG
rnacentral:rRNA from 1 species